AAAGACCGAAAUCCUCCCUACUGCCGCCCAAGUUGCGGCUCUGCAGUUGAUUUCUGGGGAGUGCUGGAAACAUGGCCAUAAAAAAAGAAUGGCGUCCAUUUACAUAAUGCUUUGUUUGCAUUUUGCAAGUUUCUUUCGGUUGAAUCUAGAGAAACCCCAUCUCCUAGUGUCUUUUUAGUCGUGGCAGUCUUGUCAGACAUUUAAGACAAUGGUGUGCCUUUUGGGGACCGCAUUUAUUUAGGGGUCCCGAGUAGUGCGGGGGAGGGUUCUUGCGAUUUUCCCCACGCCGUUUAAGCUCCCUCUUUGCCUUUCUCCCCUUGGCGCAGACGCCGCGCCCCGCUUUCUUUGGGGGCGGCCCCUGUCGGGCCCCGCCAUCUUGGAAGGCCUUUCUUGCAGUUCGCCAUCGCACGUUCCUCUCGCUAAAGAAAAGUCGUUUGGGUGGCUCGUAUGAAUUCACUUAGGCCCAGAGAGAUGAAGUGACUAAUUCAAGGUCACACAGUGUGGAGGAUGGAAUCCCGAUCUUCUGAUUUCCUUAUUGGUGAUCUCAACCUUUCUGACAGCUCCACUUAACCGUCUGCAUAUGGAUGAUGCCCACCUCUGUCUGCAGACCAGUGUCCAGCUGCUCACGUGGCCGGCAUCACUGGGAUAUUGUGCACACUCACCACUGUGUGGCCUCCCGCUCCUUACUUGCCGCCUCACCUGGUGUCCUGUCACAUGGUGAAAAGUGGUCUUGUCACUAUAAUAUGGUAGUUGAGAAUGUGACUCUGAUAGAUGUGAUGUGAUACGGCAUAUGACUCCGGAGCCCAUCUGCUGGGGCCUGAAUUCUGACUCAGCCACUUACUGUGUGACCUUGGGUCCUUACAGGAUACAUAGAGGGAAGAUGUCCGUGUGAAGAUGGAAGCAGAGAUUGGCGUUGUGCUGCCACAAACCAAAGAAUGUCAAGGAUUACUGGCAACCACCAGAAGCUGGAAGAGGCAAAGAAAGAUUCUCCCCUGGAGCCUUCACAGGGAGCAUGGUCCUGCUGAAACCUUGAUUUUGGACUUCUAGCCUCCAGAACUAUAAGAAAACAGGCCCAGAGAGAUCAAGUACUCUGAGAUCUGUCUAGGCUGCUGCUCUGCUGGCUGGACACUUACUCUGAAGUUCCUGAUGUUGCUGUUGUCAGCUCUGCACCUUCGCCAUGGCCGUCACACCUUCUGGUAGUGCUGGCACUGAGCUGCUGGAAUGGCUCCUUCUCUAACACAGCAGGCCACAGCCUUUCCCCCAUUCUUGCCCAUUUCAGGGCUUCUGGCUGUAGCCUGAUCAUUUCAGCAGGUUGCUUUGUGGCCCCACUCUUCCAGGUGAAAUCAGGCUUUUAUUUUUCAUUUCCAUGCAAUGUCAGAGAAAUGUGGGUGACAGUUGUAGGGAGGGUCACUCAGCUUCUUCUGGCAGUUAUUAUAAUGCUUCCCAUUUCUGGCCUGCUAUACUUCCUAGAAUUCCUGUCAGUAGACAACUUCAUGUCUUGAUCGUUUUUGAAGCUUCAGAGUGUCUCACACAGCUCACGUGGCACAUACCAGUUCAUGGCUGUGAGCAGAGAAGCAGCAGCAUCAUGACUGCAUUGACUCUGAGGGCCCUGGUCACCUGUUCUUGAUUAACCCAACAUACUACAGUGGCUCUCUUCUCUGCCAAAGUGAGCGGAGGGGAUAAGGAUGUUAUCUGACCCAGCCCGUCCCCCUAAACAGCAGCUCCUUGUUUGCCCCUGGCCUCUUUUGCUGGCAUCCCAGAAGGGAUCUCCUCCCUUGGCAUCCCAUUGCUGGCUGCAGAAUCUUGCCUACUUUCCAAUAUGAACCUUUUGCUUUGGAUCCUGCUCUUACUCUUUUUUGUUUGUUUUAAUUUUAUUUACUUAUUUUGAGAGAGCGAGAGAAAGCACGAGCAGGGGUAGGAGAAGAGGGAGAAGGACAAGUGAGAGAAAGUGUGAGCAGGGGGAAGAGAAGAGGAAGAGGGACAAGCAGGCUCUGUCCUGAAUGCGGAGCUGGAGGUGGGGCUUGAGAUCAUGACCUGAGCCAAAACCAAGAGUCAGAUGCUCAACCCACUAAGCCACCCAGAUGCCCCAGUCCUGCUCCUAUUCUUAACAACGCUCACUAGACUGAGCUCCAGGAACUCAGGAACCAUAUUUAUUUUGUUUGCCGCUGUAUCCCAGGACUGAGCAAAGACCUGACACUUCUCUAGCCCCUCAAGAAGUAUUUAUUGAAUGAAGAACUGAAUAUUGACCUUGAAGCUUUGGAAUCCUGGUUUUCCUUGCUUCUUGAUAAAGCCAGCAACCAGAUUAAGAACUUCAGAGGCCUAAGCAAUAGAAAGAUUAUGAUGUCCCUCAUAUUUUCAGCCCUCAAUAUGUAUUUGAAAAACAAUAUUUAACACAGAAUCAGUAUAAGGAAAUUGAGCAAAGUAUAAGGAAAGUCUAGCAAAGUUCUGUUUUUUAUCAUGGUGACUAAUUAGAUAAAUAUAAUUAAAAUAUUUGCAAUUACUGUCUCUGCUUUGCCAGUUUUCUAAGCACAUGCUUUUGGAUAAUCCUGCCUGGACCAGUCCUUUCCUCCCUUUGGACUUCAUUUCGUCUUUAUUCCAUCUGCUAAAGUUGCCAGCCAGUCCCUUUCAUCCCUGUAGGGUUGUCUGGCUCCUGAGAUCCCCCCAGCCUAGGCUAAACGCCCUGGGCUCACUGAGGGCUUGGCAAGAAAGUCAAGUAGAACAUGCACACUGCUAAAGAGUACCUCAGGGAACUUGCAUGCUGGGUUACGAUUUAUAGUCAACAUAGUGCAUUGUGCCAAGUGAUUACACUUGGGCCAUUUUUAGUUGUAAUAAUCUGCUUCUGUGAUCCUGUAUGUGGAAACCCCAGAAAAAUAUCCCUUUGGUCCUCCUUCCUGCAUCACUGAGAAGAUGCAGUCCCACUCUGCCAUUAAUUAAUCUCUGUUAUUCUGGCUUUGUUGAAACCAUUCAGAGGAGCAAGAUAUGAUCCUGGAAGUGUAGAGCCCAGGCCUCCUACAGGCUAUUCCAAGGCUGUGACCGUAAUCAACUCUGUUGCUGUUUCAUUUCAAAGAGCUUAAAAUAGUGUUGGAAACUUCCUAGGAAAAAAGCACCACUGUAACUUCUUGGCUAAGGAAGCAGUGUGUGCUGGCCAGAGCAGAAGCAAUGGCCAAGGUCCCAAGUUCUUUUCUGGACCUGUUGAUUUGGGGUGUGAUAUUCGACAAUCUGAGAUGCUGUCCUAUAGCUCUGAUGGUUCAUCUUCAGCACAGAGAAUGAUGUGGGCCAUGCCUGUAGGGAGAGAGGCUGACAUUGGUCCCCUGUGAUCUAGGGGAGCCUCAUCAUUAGAUGUCCUUUCUUUCAUUUGAAUUUCUAGUUCUUUUUAAAAAUUUAAAAAAUAUUUUAUUUAUUUAUUUAUUUAUUUAUUUUUAUUUAUUUAGAGGUGCCUGGGUGGCUCAGUUGUUAAGUGUCUG